AAUCAACGCUGGCGGCGUGCCUAACACAUGCAAGUCGAACGCGAAAGCCCGCAAGGGUAAGUAGAGUGGCGCACGGGUGAGUAACACGUGGACAACCUGCCUUCGAGUGGGGAAUAACCUUCCGAAAGGAGGGCUAAUACCGCAUAACACCUCGGGACACAAGUUCUGGGGUUGAAAAGAGCAAUUUGCUCGAAGAGGGGUCCGCGCCUGAUUAGCUAGUUGGUGAGGUAACGGCUCACCAAGGCUUCGAUCAGUAGCCGUCCUGAGAGGAGCACGGCCACACUGGAACUGAGACACGGUCCAGACUCCUACGGGAGGCAGCAGUGGGGAAUUUUUGGCAAUGGGCGAAAGCCUGACCAAGCAACGCCGCGUGGGUGAUGAAGUAUCUUGGUACGUAAAACCCUUUUCGGCAGGGACGAACCUAAUGACGGUACCUGCGGAAGAAGCCCCGGCUAACUCCGUGCCAGCCGCCGCUGUAAC
rnacentral:rRNA from 1 species